GCCAGACUCCUACGGGAGGCAGCAGUGGGGGAUAUUGCACAAUGGGGGGAACCCUGAUGCAGCGACGCCGCGUGGGUGAGGAAGCGCCUCGGCGCGUAAAGCCCUGUCAGCAGGGAAGAAAAUGACGGUACCUGAAGAAGAAGCUCCGGCUAACUACGUGCCAGCAGCCGCGGUAAUACGUAGGGAGCGAGCGUUGUCCGGAUUUACUGGGUGUAAAGGGUGCGUAGGCGGCCCUGCAAGUCAGAAGUGAAAUCCAUGGGCUUAACCCGUGAACUGCUUUUGAAACUGCAGGACUUGAGUGGAGUAGAGGUAGGCGGAAUUCCGGGUGUAGCGGUGAAAUGCGUAGAGAUCGGGAGGAACACCAGUGGCGAAGGCGGCCUACUGGGCUUUAACUGACGCUGAAGCACGAAAGCGUGGGUAGCAAACA
rnacentral:rRNA from 1 species